AUACGGAGGAUCCGAGCGUUAUCCGGAUUUAUUGGGUUUAAAGGGUGCGCAGGCGGCCAUUUAAGUCAGCGGUUAAAUCGUGGGGCUCAACCCCAUUCUGCCGUUGAUACUGGGUGGCUUGAUUGCGGUCGAGGUUGGCGGAAUUCGUUGUGUAGCGGUGAAAUGCAUAGAUAUUACACAGAACGCCGAUUGUGAAGACACCUCACGAAGCGGUAACUGACGCUGAGGCACGAAAGCGUGGGGAUCGAACAGGAUUAGAUACCCUGGUAGUCCACGCAGUAAACGAUGAUGACUAACCGUCGGCGAUAGACCGCCGGUGGCCAAGCGAAAGCGAUAAGUCAUCCACCUGGGGAGUACGCCGGCAACGGUGAAACUUAAAGGAAUUGGCGGGG
rnacentral:rRNA from 1 species